UACGUAGGGGGCAAGCGUUGUCCGGAUUUAUUGGGCGUAAAGAGCGUGUAGGCGGCUAGGUAGGUCCGUUGUGAAAACUCGAGGCUCAACCUCGAGACGCCGAUGGAAACCAUCUAGCUAGAGUCCGGAAGAGGAGAGUGGAAUUCCUGGUGUAGCGGUGAAAUGCGCAGAUAUCAGGAAGAACACCCGUGGCGAAGGCGGCGACCUGGGCCAAUAUUGACGCUGAGGUGCGAAAGCGUGGGGAGCAAACAGG
rnacentral:rRNA from 1 species